UUGAUUGUAAGCGUCAGAAGUAUCAGAAAGAGUUCCAUCGUCGUCUUCAUCGUCGGACAAGUGUUUUCUCUCGUCAUCUCCAUCAUCACUCUC
rnacentral:sRNA from 1 species